rnacentral:rRNA from 1 species
GACGAACGCUGGCGGCGUGCCUAAUACAUGCAAGUAGAACGCUGAAGAGAGGAGCUUGCUCUUCUUGGAUGAGUUGCGAACGGGUGAGUAACGCGUAGGUAACCUGCCUUGUAGCGGGGGAUAACUAUUGGAAACGAUAGCUAAUACCGCAUAACAAUGGAUGACACAUGUCAUUUAUUUGAAAGGGGCAAUUGCUCCACUACAAGAUGGACCUGCGUUGUAUUAGCUAGUAGGUGAGGUAAUGGCUCACCUAGGCGACGAUACAUAGCCGACCUGGGAGGGUGAUCGGCCACACUGGGACUGAGACACGGCCCAGACUCCUACGGGAGGCAGCAGUAGGGAAUCUUCGGCAAUGGGGGCAACCCUGACCGAGCAACGCCGCGGGAGUGAAGAAGGUUUUCGGAUCGUAAAGUUCUGUUGUAAGUCAAGAACGGGUGUGAGAGUGGAAAGUUCACACUGUGACGGUAGCUUACCAGAAAGGGACGGCUAACUACGUG